GACGAACGCUGGCGGCGUGCCUAAUACAUGCAAGUUGAGCGCUGAAGGUUGGUACUUGUCCCGACUGGAUGAGCAGCGAACGGGUGAGUAACGCGUGGGGAAUCUGCCUUUGAGCGGGGGACAACAUUUGGAAACGAAUGCUAAUACCGCAUAAAAACUUUAAACACAAGUUUUAAGUUUGAAAGAUGCAAUUGCAUCACUCAAAGAUGAUCCCGCGUUGUAUUAGCUAGUUGGUGAGGUAAAGGCUCACCAAGGCGAUGAUACAUAGCCGACCUGAGAGGGUGAUCGGCCACAUUGGGACUGAGACACGGCCCAAACUCCUACGAGAGGCAGCAGUAGGGAAUCUUCGGCAAUGGACGAAAGUCUGACCGAGCAACGCCGCGUGAGUGAAGAAGGUUUUCGGAUCGUAAAACUCUGUUGGUAGAGAAGAACGUUGGUGAGAGUGGAAAGCUCAUCAAGUGACGGUAACUACCCAGAAAGGGACGGCUAACUACGUG
rnacentral:rRNA from 1 species